rnacentral:rRNA from 1 species
UAGGGAAUCUUCCGCAAUGGGCGAAAGCCUGACGGAGCAACGCCACGUGAGUGAUGAAGGUCUUUGGAUCGUAAAACUCUGUUAUUAGGGAAGAACAAAUGUGUAAGUAACUAUGCACGUCUUGUCGGUACCUAAUCAGAAAGCUACGGCUAACUACGUGCCAGCAGCCGCGGUAAUACGUAGGUGGCAAGCGUUAUCCGGAAUUAUUGGGCGUAAAGCGCGCGUAGGCGGUUUUUUAAGUCUGAUGUGAAAGCCCACGGCUCAACCGUGGAGGGUCAUUGGAAACUGGAAAACUUGAGUGCAGAAGAGGAAAGUGGAAUUCCAUGUGUAGCGGUGAAAUGCGCAGAGAUAUGGAGGAACACCAGUGGCGAAGGCGACUUUCUGGUCUGUAACUGACGCUGAUGUGCGAAAGCGUGGGGAUCAAACAGGA